rnacentral:lncRNA from 1 species
UGUGAGAGAGACGGAAGUGUCUAUUGCAUUGUAUCCUUAUUUUCUUUUUUUUAAUUUAUUUUAAACAGAAUAAGUCUUUUUGAAACUAUUAAAAUUUUUGUUUAAACUUCCUAAAUUUUAGUUAAUAAAUUUUUACACAUUCUCAAUUCAUAUUCCAUUGAAAAACCCAACAGCCAUGCGGUUGGGUUUAAUUUUAUGUUUUUC